GUGUAAUUUUUUAUGUGUGGUUUCUUGAUAAGAUUUUUUAUUUUUUUGGUACACUCUAUUUAAUUACAAUAUAUUUUCCAUUAUUUAUUCACGAUGUGAACUAGGUAUAAAUGCCAAAUACAUGUGAUUCACUACUACUAAUUUCCUGCUUAGCAUGCAUGCCUUUGUGGUUGUUACUUUACAAGCUUUCUCAGUUUCAAUCACUUGUAGUCUAUCUACAUUCCACAAACAUAUUCAAACAAUGUGGUGAGGAAUACUUUGUGCAUCCAUGGUCCUUUGUUAUCAACAUUAAACUUGUGAAUUUGUUGGCUAUCCUUGCACAUCGACUUUUGUGCACCUUUUUUGUUAAAAAAAAAUGAUGGAGCACUUUCCCUGGGCUCUUGACUUGUUCAACCCAACUACUUUCUCCUGCUUUGGUUUAUUAAGUCACCUAUUCGUUUAUGAAGGUAUGUUCACAUUCAUUUUGUUUUCACAUAGAUACUCAUUUUCCAUUGCUGUGAAAUUAGACUAUAUCCCUAUUUAUGAUCUUCCAAUACGAGCAUUUUUGUGGUUCUUAUUGAAUAUAAGUUGGUGAAAAGUAAACAUCAUAGGUAAACUGGGUAUGUCUUUUAAAUUCUCUCACCAUCUUCUUUUACCUCUAGCAUAACAUGACAACUUUUAUUCAUUCGUAGCAUAUUUCUGGACGAAUGGCUACAGGUUAUUCUGUAUUUCUGCAACCUAUCACAUUGACUGCCCUGAUUUUGACUUCUAUAGUUUGUAAUUCAAAUACUAGUUUUUCGACAUGCUUCUCUUGCUAUGUAUUCCAAAGAUUGUAAUCUGUCUUGAGCAUUAUGCUAACUUCGAAUGGUGUUUGGCAUGCAUUUUUGAACAAAAGCAAUAGAUAAGAGAUCACAUUUGUCCUCGUAAGUUUAACUAAGUCUUGUCGCGUUGUAGAAGCAGUUAAAAUUUGCGUGUUGUAUCUUCCCCAUAUCUCUUAAUUCUCCCUUAGUUGCACCGAAUUUGCUGGUCCCAUCUAUUCAGGGACUGCAUUGUGCAUUCUACUGAUAUUUCAUGUAACUAAUACACAACGCUGCGGGUGCAGGCCAUAGGAAAAAGAUACAGAUUACUUGCUGAGUAUUGCCCAAAUUUGACUAGUUUUCCUUAAUCACAAAGGCAGGCUGAAGAUGACGAGGCACACACUGCAGAACAAAGUGCAAUUAAAUUGCGGGCGCAGCAGCAUACUUCCAAUACAUCCAAUGUUUCUUCUUUCUCAAUUUUCUUCACUUGAUUCGGAGGACUUUUUCCAUGGCGACUGUGACGAGGUUGUGCUUGUAUACAAUCUACCCCUACGGUUUGUGCCUUUGCUUGGUGCUGAUAGACUAACGUUUAGUUGAAGAAGGGAACCGAUCAUGCAAUUAACGUGUUCUUAAUUUCUUUCCAUUGAGAGCUACAUGUUUGGAUACUUUGGAUUUUUUGUAGCCAAAUAUGGCCAUCUUGUAGCCAAACGCCAAUGAUGCAGUCCAUUGGAAAUUUUGUGUGUCAUAACUCCGUAAGAGCAUCUCCUUUUCUGACUUCCAUCAUAGAUUUUGAUGCGCACCAGCCCACCACAGUAGGAGCUGACGAGUCAGAUCUGGAAAAUAUUCGGUAUGAAAGUUGCAUUGAUGCUUCAUUACAUCAACGUGCCGUUGAAGACCACGCUUUGAGUAUGAAAAGUGUAACUCUUAUGGCUAUGCUUGCCUAAAUGCCAAAGUUCCAUGAGCAGCAACAGGUUGUAUUGCGAAAUUUUAAGUUUUGAGUAAACGAGUUUAGCGUUAAUUCUUGUAGAGUUGUGUCAAUAACAUUUGUGUACAAGAUUAGCUUCACUUAUUUCACUAUACGGGUGACCAAUUGUCGGUUGUAGUCUUCCUUUAUCAGAAAGGCGGAAGAUGCCGAGCCACAUAGCACAACAAAGUGCAAUUCAAAUUGCAUGCGCAGCAGCAGACUUCCAAUGCUUUGGUAGUGACAAAUCAACCUGCGAAUAUUCGCACGCAUGCUGUGAACCAGCCUGGUCUUGUCAAGGUGUGCCUAGCAUGAGUAAUGUGAACCAGCCUGGUCUUGUCAAGGUGUGCCUAGCAUGAGUAAUGUGGUUACGUGUGAUUUCAUUUUAUAAGCCCCGACACUUAUUUUGAGGAUUUCGUCCUCAUUGAGCCUAGGGUGUCUUAAGACACUCAAUUUUUCCAGUCUUCCUUGAUCAGAAAGGCCAAAGAUGCCGAGGCACAUACUGCACAACAAAGUACAAUUAAAUUGCAGGCGCAGCAGCGAUGCUUUGGUGGUGACAAAUCAAAGCCUUGUGAAUAUUCGCACUCAUGCUGUGAACUAGCUUGGUGUUGCCCAGGUACCUAGCAUGACUAAUGCAGUGAGAUAUCAUUUCUUGUUAUAAGCCCCAACACUGAUAUUGAGGAUUUGUUUUUUCUCGUUGUAAAAAUAUAAUCCAACAUUGAGGACACGAUGAGAGCGAUGCUGAACACAGGGCAAGACAUGCAAAUGGGGCUCUUGAGACUCCGAGUGUAGUGGAUCCUCAAUUGCGUAUGUCCUGAUUUUCUUGGGGAUCUUUAAGUUCAUUGGGCCAGUUCACCAGGAGUGGUUUCUGACUCGGAAGGUGGUGCAAAUGCAGAGAUGCAUCAGCCAUUGCACGUGUUGAAGAACAAACUCAAACUGUCUCAUGCUGUCCACGGGUGUACUGCUUCGUCUUGUUUGUAUAUGCAUAUCCAAGUCAUUCUUUAUAGUAUUUAUGUCAAUCCAGAUUCAUAGUCGCUCAUAAGAUGGUUUCGCUGAUCCUAUGCAUGGUUUCAUUAGCCUAAUAUCUAUGGAUCAUUUUGUUUGAUUAAUUGCAGUUGGGUCGGGCAUGGAACACAUCCGACCCAUAGCUUGGCGGGCCAAAUUGGGAUGGCAUAUAUGCCCCUCUCAAUUGUGUUCUUACUGCUGCAUCUUUUGUUUUGUGUGUUAAUUUUCCUUGGGUUUUCCUUUCUCAAUUUUCUUAUAAUUCUUUCUUUGUUUUUUUUAAUCUCUUUGUCUAUGCUUUGUGGAUUAUGCCUUAUGCUUUUAUGGAACGAACAUGCUCUCUGGGUAUUGCUGAAACUUUUGCAUUGAUUUCUAUAAGUUUAUGGGUGUGGGAGAUCCAGUGAAACUAGGUAUUGAUGGAGUUAUUGUUGAAAUUUUAUUCUAAUUUCUUGAAAUUCAAAUAUUUGGAUGAGGGAGGAAAAAUGAAUUUUGAUUUACCACAACACAUUUGGAUUAAGUUUCAUUUCAAUACUCAAUUGCCUCUUUAAUCAAAAUCCUCUUUAAUCAAAAUCAAUUCAC